rnacentral:rRNA from 1 species
AUUGAACGCUGGCGGGAGGCCUAACACAUGCAAGUCGAGCGGAUGAAGGGAGCUUGCUCCUGGAUUCAGCGGCGGACGGGUGAGUAAUGCCUAGGAAUCUGCCUGGUAGUGGGGGAUAACGUCCGGAAACGGGCGCUAAUACUGCAUACGUCCUGAGGGAGAAAGUGGGGGAUCUUCGGACCUCACGCUAUCAGAUGAGCCUAGGUCGGAUUAGCUAGUUGGUGGGGUAAAGGCCUACCAAGGCGACGAUCCGUAACUGGUCUGAGAGGAUGAUCAGUCACACUGGAACUGAGACACGGUCCAGACUCCUACGGGAGGCAGCAGUGGGGAAUAUUGGACAAUGGGCGAAAGCCUGAUCCAGCCAUGCCGCGUGUGUGAAGAAGGUCUUCGGAUUGUAAAGCACUUUAAGUUGGGAGGAAGGGCAGUAAGUUAAUACCUUGCUGUUUUGACGUUACCAACAGAAUAAGCACCGGCUAACUUCGUG